CCUACGGGGGGCAGCAGUGGGGAAUAUUGCACAAUGAGCGCAAGCCUGAUGCAGCCAUGCCGCGUGUGUGAAGAAGGCCUUCGGGUUGUAAAGCACUUUCAGCGGGGAGGAAGGCGGUGAGGUUAAUAACCUCAUCGAUUGACGUUACCCGCAGAAGAAGCACCGGCUAACUCCGUGCCAGCAGCCGCGGUAAUACGGAGGGUGCAAGCGUUAAUCGGAAUUACUGGGCGUAAAGCGCACGCAGGCGGUCUGUCAAGUCGGAUGUGAAAUCCCCGGGCUCAACCUGGGAACUGCAUUCGAAACUGGCAGGCUAGAGUCUUGUAGAGGGGGGUAGAAUUCCAGGUGUAGCGGUGAAAUGCGUAGAGAUCUGGAGGAAUACCGGUGGCGAAGGCGGCCCCCUGGACAAAGACUGACGCUCAGGUGCGAAAGCGUGGGGAGCAAACAGGAUUAGAUACCCGAGUAGUC
rnacentral:rRNA from 1 species